AUUGAACGCUGGCGGCAUGCUUUACACAUGCAGGUCGAACGGUAACAGGCCUUCGGGUGCUGAUGAUUGGCGAACGGGUGAGUAAUGCAUCCGAACGUACCCAGCGGUGGGGGAUAACGCAGCGAAAGCUGUGCUAAUACCGCAUGUGAUCUGAGGAUGAAAGCGGGGGACCGAGCAGCAAUGUUUGGCCUCGCGCCUUUGGAGCCGCCGAUGUCGGAUUAGCUAGUUGGUGGGGUAAAGGCCUACCAAGGCGACGAUCCGUAGCCGGUCUGAGAGGGCGACCAGCCCCCCUGGGACUGGGACACGGCCCAGACUCCUGCGGGAGGGAGCAGUGGGGAAUUUUGGACAAUGGGCGCAAACCUGAUCCAGCACUGCCGAGUGCGGCAAGAAGGCCUUCGGGUUGUAAAACGCUUUUGGCAGGAACGAAACGGUGUCCGCUAAUACCGGGCGCUAAUGACGGUACCUGGAGAAUAAGCACCGGCUAACUACGUG
rnacentral:rRNA from 1 species